rnacentral:rRNA from 1 species
UUGGCGGACGGGUGAGUAACGCGUAAGAACCUACCUUUAGGAGGGGACAACAGCUGGAAACGACUGCUAAUACCCCAUAUGCUGAGGAGUGAAAUGGUGUAACAACCGCCUAAAGAUGGGCUUGCGUCUGAUUAGCUUGUUGGUAAGGUAAAGGCUUACCAAGGCAACGAUCAGUAGCUGGUCUGAGAGGAUGAUCAGCCACACUGGAACUGAAACACGGUCCAG